rnacentral:rRNA from 1 species
CCUACGGGGGGCUGCAGUGGGGAAUAUUGGACAAUGGGCGAAAGCCUGAUCCAGCCAUGCCGCGUGUGUGAAGAAGGCCUUCGGGUUGUAAAGCACUUUCAGUGGGGAAGAAAGCCUUGGGGCUAAUACCCUCGAGGAAGGACAUCACCCACAGAAGAAGCACCGGCUAACUCCGUGCCAGCAGCCGCGGUAAUACGGAGGGUGCGAGCGUUAAUCGGAAUUACUGGGCGUAAAGCGCGCGUAGGCGGUCUGAUAAGCCGGUUGUGAAAGCCCCGGGCUCAACCUGGGAACGGCAUCCGGAACUGUCAGGCUAGAGUGCAGGAGAGGAAGGCAGAAUUCCCGGUGUAGCGGUGAAAUGCGUAGAGAUCGGGAGGAAUACCAGUGGCGAAGGCGGCCUUCUGGACUGACACUGACGCUGAGGUGCGAAAGCGUGGGUAGCAAACAGGAUUAGAUACCCCAGUAGUC